CAGGCGGGGUCCAGGCCUCUCUCUGACGAGCUCAUGGCCCCACACUGCCGCUGGAGGACGUCACGCUCUGGUCCGGCUGUCUUCAUAAUGAAGCCGGAGGUUGCCUUCUUCGGAAACUAGACCACACUGGCCCCCUGGACGUGGCGCUGGCCUCUUGCAGCGCAGGCCAGCGGGGAACCGGCUCCGCGUUGCGGACUUCGAUGCAGCAGGCUGUGCGGGAAGUGGGCACGCUCAGCGCACGGCUGUGUUUGCAAAGCACGGCCUCCCGCUCCGGGCCGUGCCCAGGUCCAGUGGGCUUUCCUCACUCGGGAGGGAGCUCUGGGCGCACGACGCUGGGCUUUGCGACAGCAGCUUUGCCAGCUUCCUGGUGAUCUCGGGGCGAAGCACUGAGCACGGACAUAAAACCCAGAGCUGUCAGCCCCUUCCUGCUUUGGCGACGGAGGCGGAGACUGUCAAGGGCGAAGCAACUCCUCAGGGCAAACCGCGGGGCCUGCACGCCCUCCCCACAGGCUGGGCUGUCUGUGCGUUCGUUCCUUCGUGCCAGCCACCUCCAGCAGCGCCGUCUGAGUCUGCCGGUCAGUGUUUUAUGGAUCCAGGCCAACAAAACCAAACCACAACAACAAGGCGGCUGCUCAGGAAGGGUCAGCCCCACUCACGCUUCCCAGUGGCGCGGAAUUUAGGAGGCAGCAGAGCAAACCCUUAUCAGAAAGCUGUGAAACCUUGCAAGACCCAGGGCGUGUAGUUCUGGUGACCCCUCUUGGAGAAAUUUCUAGAAUAUGACCGAGAAUCUCCAGAAUUUCUAGAAUAUGACCGAGACAAAAAGUGGAUCGAAAGCAUUGAAGUCAUUUAAGGGUGUGAAGCUGAGGGCUCCAAAAGGAGUGCAGAUUCUGUGGCGGCCCAUGGAAUGACAGCAGCUCAGGCAGGACAAGAAAAUUUCCUCUGGCAGCAGAGCAGAGCCCGCACGGAGGGGAGGAGCUGUCCAAGUGCUGGAGAGCACCCGGGAGCUGAGGGUUGACAGAGGUGGGCAGUCGGAGGUAGGUGGAUGCCCACUGUGCCUGUGACCACCAGUAAGUGUUGGCUACAUCCCAGUACCGUGCAGGAAGCAAUCACAUCCGGGCCAUCGGUGAUGCUCUGUAAAGGACGGGAAAAGUGUUUAGAAGAAGCAGAGUCCUGGGAUUUAAAAGACACAGCAAGACCAAGGAGGCCUCCAACGAAACUCUGCCGAGGAAUAAAGCAC
rnacentral:lncRNA from 1 species